rnacentral:rRNA from 1 species
UACGGGGGGGGCAAGCGUUGUUCGGAAUUACUGGGCGUAAAGGGCUCGUAGGCGGCCAACUAAGUCGGAUGUGAAAUCCCCAGGCUUAACCUGGGAACUGCAUCCGAUACUGGAUGGCUUGAAUCCGGGAGAGGGAUGCAGAAUUCCAGGUGUAGCGGUGAAAUGCGUAGAUAUCAGGAGGAACACCGGUGGCGAAGGCGGAUCUCUGGGCCAUUACUGACGCUGAGGAGCGAAAGCGUGGGGAGCAAACAGG